rnacentral:sRNA from 1 species
ACACCCUCAUCUUCCAGCAGUGAGGGUAGACUAUUAAGGCUCUCAUGUCAUCAAGGAUCAAGGCAAUGGGUUAAUGGAGACUCUAGACGUUUGUUUCCUCACCAGUGAAAAUUAAAUGAAGACCCAGGAAUCACUACAGCUAUAGGGAUGAGAAGGACAUUUCAGCAGCUAGAGUGUGGUGAAGUAUGGCAGGCACACAGGCCUGAGACUGGAAUAUGGCUUCCUACUUCUUCCUCUGCAAAUUAAAGACAGCAAGCCCCAGGGUGCUAAUCCAACUGAGUUGCCACUCCAGCUACAAUUAGCGAAGCUGAACAACAAAGGAGAGACGGAAAACCUGCCCCUAAAUGAGGAAUCCUAACCUCGUGUGUUUUCCAGUGAAGCGAAUUACAAAGGCAUUAUUUACUCGGGAGAAAAAAGUAUAGGAAACUAAAGAAAAUACUGAAGAUCAUCUCAAAUGGUGACAAUCUUUUUCAAUCUCAUCUACACUUCAAUUUUGGAAUAGUCUAUAAUAUUUGAGAAUUAACAGAAAUAUUGCAAGAUAAAA